rnacentral:lncRNA from 1 species
CAAAUGUAGAAUUUCAUGAAAAUAUUUUUUGCAUGAAAACUUAUUCAUUGAGUUGUACUCAUUCAACAGUAUUUGGUGAGCCGUGCACUGAAUUAAGUACUGAAUUUUGCAUUCUAUGAUUCUCAAUUGAUCUUCAUAGUUUGUGGACUUAUCCACAGUAUUGUUUGUCUACCCCAAUAGGGUUAAUUGAUUUAUGUUAAAUGAUCUUUAUCAUCAUUAUCAGCAAAAAUCAGGCAAAAAAAUGCAUUAAAAAAAAUGCAUUGCUUACUCUACUUUUCGUAGAAACAAACAAGGAAAAUAUUGAUUACUGACAAAUAUGACAAAUGCAUAUCCUGAUUGUGGUAUCGAUUAUAAGGAUAUAUUUAUUCAACUUCAGAAGGACUGCCUAUUUUGGGGAGAGGCUUUCUAUAUAGCACUGAAGACCUGUGCUCCAAUGAUUGGUAUAGAUAUAAUGUUUAUAAUAAAUAUAUUUUGAUAGAUCCAUCAAAACUAGGGUAAAAAAAAAAUAUUUAUAUAUAUUAAAUGCUGAUUUUACUACAGCAUUUAAAAAAAGUAAUGAGGUCAGUGAAGGAAUUUAGUGAAUCAACAGUAUUAUAAACAAGGCCAAUUGUGGUUAGCUCAAAAAUGCUACAAGACCCUAUGUUUUUAUAAAAGCCAAAGCUAUGUUUGACUAUGAUGGCUGAUAUAUGAAAGCUUCAGAUUUUUAAAGGGAAACCAGGUAAAAAUUCAAGUCAAGAAAUAGCCUCAAAUAGGUUUUAAUUUAAGUUGAUUGAAGAUGCUGAACAAUAUGCUCCUAUUAUUCUAUAGUAGGUGAUCACUUUUUAAACUAGAUUUAUCUCCCUUUGUCUGAAUGUUAAACUUUCUGUUCUGUUAAAUUUUAGAUGUUGUGUUAAGUUUUAGAUGUUUUGGAGAAUAUUUACAUGUUGUGGUGAAUCUAAGUUUGUUAAGGUGAACUUUAAUAUAUGUAGCAAACAAAAUAAGUUAAAUAUAAAGGAUUCUAUUAUAAAUGGAGACAAGAAAUAAAGACAAUAAUUGCCUCCCCUUUUUAAACACCAAGUAUAUGAUUUUGCAGUCUUUCAAGAUAAACAACACAUAGUUGUCUAAAAACAAUGAUCCCUCACAACAAAUCACCAGAAGUGAACAACUUCCCGUCCUACAAGAUAAACAACACACCGAUGUUUGAAAACAAUGAUCACUCAAGAAAAAUAACCAGAAAUGGACAACUUCCUGUCCGACAAGAUAAACAACACACCAAUGUUUGAAAACAAUGAUCACUCAAGAAAAAUAACCAGAAAUGGACAACUUCCUGUCCGACAAGAUAAACAACACACCAAUGUUUGAAAACAAUGAUCACUCGAAACAAAUAACCAGAAAUGGACAACUUCCCCUCCGACAAGAUAAACAACACACCGAUGUUUGAAAACAAUGAUCCCUCACAACAAAUCACCAGAAGUGAACAACUUCCCGUCCGACAAGAUAAACAACACAACAAUGCUUGAAAAAAAUGAUCACUCAAGACAAAUCACCAAAAAGGAACAAGAUAAACAACACAUUUUAAAACUGAGAAGAAUUAAUAUGAUUGUAAAGAAGACAGUUUUUCCACCAGAGACCAAUUGACAUAUAGAUUUAAAAAAUCUUGAAAAAUUUGAUUGAUUAUAUAGGGAAUCACUGAAGCAUAAAUAUUUCUGGAUCCGCCACAGAGAUUAGAUGAACAGAACACAUACC